rnacentral:tRNA from 1 species
GGGCCUUUUUCAUGCUUCGUUAAAGCAGCGGACUCAUAAUCCGUUGGUGCCGUGUUCGACUCACGGGAGGCCCACCA